UACGUAGGUGGCUAGCGUUGUCCGGAUUUACUGGGCGUAAAGAGCGCGCAGGCGGUCGUUCAAGUCGAGUGUGAAAGCCCCCGGCUCAACUGGGGAGGGUCACUCGAUACUGAUCGACUCGAAGGCAGGAGAGGGAAGCGGAAUUCCCGGUGUAGAGGUGAAAUUCGUAGAUAUCGGGAGGAACACCAGUGGCGAAGGCGGCGAUCUGGGAAGAUACUGACGCUGAGGUGCGAAAGCGUGGGGAGCAAACAGG
rnacentral:rRNA from 1 species